AUGGCAAUUGUCCAUACAUACGGGAAGCCUGACAUCUUCUUGACCAUGACUUGCAACCCUAAAUGGGAAGAGAUAACAAAUGAGUUGCUUCCUGGUCAGACGGUGCAAGACCAACCUGAUAUUGUGGCUCGCGUGUUCUACGGCAAACUAGAGGCUAUGAAAUACAUGUUGUUCAAGAAGCAUAUCCUGGGUGUUGUGGUCGCUUACGUUUACGUAGUCGAGUUCCAAAAGAGGGGCCUCCCCCAUGCACAUUUUCUGUUGAUCAUGGAUUCAACAUAUAAGCUUGUCGUCCCGGAGCAGUAUGACCGACUAAUUUCCGCAGAGCUCCCAAACAAGCAGAAGUAUCCGGAAUUGCAUGCAUUGGUGGUAAAACAUAUGAUGCACGGACCCUGCGGUGCUCUCAACCCGAAGAAUGUUUGCAUGCAAGAUAACGAAUGCAAGUGCAGAUACCCGCGCUCGUUCAAUGAGAACACAGCACAAGGCAAGGACUCAUACCCAGUUUAUCGGCGUAGAGACGAUGGAAGCUGUGCUAAGGUCCGAGGGAAAAUGUUGGACAACAGAUGGGUUGUGCCUUAUAACCCUUACCUUCUGCGGAUGUUCAAUUGCCACAUCAACGUUGAGGUCUGCUCUAGCAUAAAGGCCAUCAAAUAUCUUUACAAGUACAUUUACAAGGGCCAUGAUAAGGCUUCUUUCAGCAUCGACCAGCCCGAUGCCGAUGGUAACAUCGAUGAGAUCAAGAGAUACGUUGACGCAAGGUGGGUCACCCCUCCGGAGGCUAUGUGGAGGAUAUUUGGCUUCCCACUUUGCACCAAUUACCCGCCUGUCUUGUAG
rnacentral:rRNA from 1 species